rnacentral:rRNA from 1 species
CUUAAAACCCAAAGGACUUGACGGUGUCCCACCCAACUARGAGGAGCCUGUUCUAUAAUCRAUAACCCCCGCUUCACCCAACCCCCCCUUGCUUUAUCASCCUGUAUACCUCCGUCGUAAACCCGCCGUAUGAAUGUACUUAAGCGGAUUCAAUGGUCUCCCACCAACACUUCGGGUCAAGGUGCASCCAAUGGAGGUGGUAAKUAAUGGGCUACAAUUUCUAAUCUAAAACAAACAAAUUACUGCAUGAAACACAKUCAUGAAGGAGGAUUUAGUAUUAAAAAAAAAUUANCKUKUUCUUUUUAACACGGCCCUGG